rnacentral:lncRNA from 1 species
ACCGUCGAAUUCCUCGUAGUCACCACACCUUUGUGAUUCCUGAACCUGGAGGGGCGCAAAACCAAAAUUGAGUGGGUCAGUAAAACAAUUCUUUUCCAAAUCCAAACAUUCCUCAAAACGUUGUAACCCCUCUCCGUAAAACCUGUAUACUUUCCCAGAAAUGUAAAAUAUAAAUAUACAUAUAUAUUCUCAAACUUCAUUUUUUACUAUCUCAACAUUUUUCUUUAUCAAUCAUGCCAUGCCAUGUCUAAUUCAACAGUUAAGUAUGGAUGCAUCAACAAUAAUCAUAUCAGGUGCAAGAAAGUAAUCAACCGGAGGCCCUCUAAUAGCCCUGCACGGUUGAACCUAGAGCUCAAAAUCUAUCACUCUCACACUCUGCCGGAGUCACUCCGCGUGUGACCUGUCCGGCCUUCUGCACAUAAGUUACGCUCUAGUGCUUCUCAUAAAUCAUCUGUGCACAUAAUCUAAGGUCACCCACCAGUCGGAAUCUCACUAACACUCUCGCGACUGGCCUGUACCCACUGCGACUGGUGACCUACCCACUCCUACGUGGACGUGCACAAUACGUACUAGUACUCUAACUAUGGAUUGCCAAGCCGCACGAUUCAUUCAUAUGCGGUGAAUACUAAAAGCACUAAACUAUGGUGCAGGAUUUGAGCACAAUAUACAUCAGCAUCAUAUAAUUAAAUACUCACCUGAUACUCACAUGUGCGUCCGCCGCACCAUUCAUUCAUAUGCAUCAUAUAACAAUUCUUACCCGUGCGUCCACCGCACCAAUUCAUGCAUAUGCAUCAUAAAUCAAUUCUUACCUGUGCGUCCACCGCACUAAUUCAUACAUAUGCAUCAUAUAUUAAUUCAUGCAUGGCAUUUCAACUCACAUUUCUAUAUACUUUUCAUAUCAAUUCUAUGCAUGGUAUUUCACUUCCUGUUUUUCCACAUAACUCAUAUGCAUUUCAUUUUGAACAUAUUUUCAUUUCAAUUCAAUUUCUGGGAAACGUCAAGUAUAUAUAUACACGGAAAACAAAACUGCCCACUCACAGAAUACAUCGACGUCUCGUAAGUCCCUGAGCAUCCCUUGGCCAUGCCCGAUGCCCGCAUAAACCUCACCUAUACAAGAGUAACCAAUUUGACGUUAUUUAACGCCUAACCCAAAUCUUAGUUAAUAACUCCUCAUAUAUUGCUCAAAUUGGGUAUAUGAAUAUACCACCACCGUGACCUACACAACCUCAGGAUCAUCCCCAUAUUUUUUAAAAUAAUUUUUGGAGUCCUCACGCGCCCCCACGCGCCUGACGUGGCACGGACCUACGCGCCCCCCGCGCCCCACGCGCGCCACGUGUCGUGUACACUGACGGCACAGUAAACGGCAGUUAGGGAAUAUUCCGUUAAAUCCUAGCAUAUUCCGUUAAUAAUUAACGGCGUCAGUCAACGCCGUUAGCAUAUUCCGUCAAAACUGACGGAAUAUUCCCUGUCUUCUCCGGCGAUUCGCCGGUCGCCGGCGACUGUUCGCCGGUUUCUGGAAAAAUUUCAAACUUGCUAUUCUCCUUCGUUUUUCAUCCAUUUUUCACGUAGAUUAUACCAAAUUGAAGCCCUAAACAUCUACUAUCACGUUGGACUAGUUUUAGGGUCUAAAAACAACGGGAUUAAACUUUCAAAAAUUCAAGAAAUCGGCCUACCUUCGAACUAGGUGAUCUCGACGUCCAAUUCAUGCCAACGAAGCACUCCGAGCUUCCUUGGGACUUCCUUAAGCUCACUGUGAGCUUGGUUUCACCUAAAACAAAGUCAAUUCGAAGAUCAUGAACAAUGUUCUUCACGGGAACUUUGAAACUAGGGUUUUCCGAAGCAAAACUUACCUGAAAUGGAUACCAUCGUGAUCGUGGAGGUUCCAGGAGUUUGAUGGUGGUUUUAACUCCGUCGUUGGUAGAAGUUUAAGGUGGUUUUGUGGUGGUCCGUGUGAGUUCGAAGGAGAGGGAGAGAGAACUGAGAGUUUCGUGAGGGAGGAGAGAGAGAGACAGUAUGCAGAAAAUAGGGAGAGGAUUGAGGGAUGUGGGGAUCCCUCGUGGUCCUUUUCCAAUCCCCAACUCCAAACCACAAAAUUUUAACCUAAAAAUCUAAGUUCCAUCCUUAAUAAAUUCCAUUUUAUUUUCAAAACUUAGGAACCUAGAUAAUUAACAACUUGAGCUUCUCAUACUUAGUAUUUCUUAAGGGCAAUUUCGUCCAUUCACAGCCACGAAUGUAAUAUUUUGGAACGGGCUGUGACAAUCUCCCCUCCUUAUAGAAUUUCGUCCCCGAAAUUCCAGCAACCAACUAAAUCAACCAUACUCCAACAAUCGCUUCGGGUAAAUCUCUCUCAUCCGAUUCUCUUUCUCCAACAUAAUUUUCUACUGAAUGAUUUCCUUCACAAAGCUUUUACCACUUACUCUGUCUUACUUUUCAGGACCUUCUUUUUCCAAUCCAAAGUCGUCCUUGGUUCCUUAUCAAGUCGAAUCCAAUUUAAUUCUCAAUAGUUGCACCAGAAUCUCAUGUGACGAAUCUGCCACCUAGUGACAACGUAUCGAACCCAAAAUAUAUUAAGUACCUUAGCCAACUCUGAAGACAUCACCACUUGUAUGCACUUUAUUGAUUCCUUUAGUGAUAAAAAAUGGUCUGAUGUGACUAAGUCUUAUCUUGUCUUCCUUUCUGAAUCUUACUAUUUCUCUUCAUGGUGAAAUUUCCAAAAAUAUCAAACCAUUUACCUUACACACUCGAUUAGUGGCAUAUCCAUCUGUUAGUCUCUUUUGCCAUUCCUGGUUACUUCAGGUUAACUUAAUCACAUGAAUACUUUGAGGAGACUCAUCCAUAGUCUCAGGGUCUACUAAAACUCUUUCUUGAUCGAAUCUUUCUCUAUUCAGAAGCAUUUCAUUCACACGACACGCUUCAGGGACCCUAUGGCGUUACUUCGGAAACCGCACAACCAACAUACUUAAGAAACUCAGCAGUUCCGUAAACCAAUUCUUCUUUCCAUAAAACAAAUAAGUACCGUUACUCUGUCUGGGAAAAAGUUAUUACUCAGCACUGGAGUAAUUGUACUAACUUGGUACAUUGACCAACUAUCACUUCAACUUCGAUCAUAACCAUCCUAUGUACAAGGAAACUUGUACACAUAAUCCAAAGUAAUAUCUUUCCAUUUCCACUGCGAAACAGAAAAUAGUUAUCUCAAUCCAAAGGUUUAUCUCUUUCUGCCUCGAUCUGCUGACCAAAUAAAACUGUCGAAUGGUAUGAUAAACCUUAUUACUUUCGGAAUAUUGCAGAAGCUGAACAGUGUACUUCGUCCAAAAUUACUUACUUUAAAUCCUUAGCAUUAGGCACAUACUUUUUGUUUUCUUGUAUCCACAUACCAUUUGAUUCACGAAUCAUGUACUCAUUCUUUUUCCUUUCUUUCUCUGCCUUGGUUAAUUCUUAAAUUUCUUCGUUAACCAUUUGAGUCUCGAGUACGGCCUUACCAAACAGGCCUAACUUGAAAAUUAACAAGUAUAACUUCUUCUCGAUCUUCCAUUCUUAAUUUUUUCUUCCGUUGGUUUUCAAUCCACAAGAUGAUACUCUUGGCAACGUGCCAGACAUUAAUCUUACUGCAAUAUUUUCACCAAGUGUAUUAGCUAGAACAAUUUUACGAUCACCCUGGUCGUACAAUCAUAUACAUUAAACAAUUCAAUUUACCUUCGCUACCUCAGAUCAAAAUCCUUCCGAGUAAUGGAUAUUGAAGACUUUUUGGAUUCGUAAAAAUCUUGCAUUCUUACCAAAUAUAAUGCCUUCAUAACUUCACAGCAAGAAUGGUAAUCAUGACUUCCAAGUCACUCGUAGGGUAAUUCAUCUCAUGAGGUUCCAUUUAUCGUGAAAUGUAUGCAAUCACCCUAACAUUUGCAUCAGCAUGCCUCCAAUACCAUUCAAGAAACAUCACUAAAAAUUUAUGAUUACCACUAUUCUUUGGGAAUACCAAAAUACGUGCAUGAGUGAGGAAAUACUUCAGUUGUUGAAUCCUUUGCUCACAAUUUCCUUCCCACUCAUACAUAACCUCUUUUCUCAACAGUCUCGUCAAUGACAAAGCAAUGACUAAAAAAUCUUUCACAACCAUCCAAAAUAGCCUGGUAAGUUAAGAAAUUCCGAAUCUCAAUUACAGCUCGUGGUUGUUCCAAUUCCUCAAUUUCUGCUAUCUUUUAAGGAUUCACUUGAAUACCUUAAGAAUAUAUAACAAAUCUCAGAAUGCCACCUGAUUCAUCUAACUUUAGCAUUUGCUACUUAGCAUACAACCGACGUUCUCUCAAUCUUUGCUUCACCAACUUAAUAUGUUUACAUGCUCUGCUCUGGCUCAGAAUAUGCCAGAAUAUCUUCAAUGAAAAUGAUAUCAAUUUAUCAAGGCAUUAUUGGAAUACUUCAUCCAUCAACUCAUAAAACAGCAUGAGUAUCCAUAUAGCAUCACCAAACUUCAUAAAGACUAUAACGAGUCCAGAAAACCAUCUUAUGAUCAACGUCACUUAUAAUAUUCAAUUGGUAGUAACCAGAUCUCAAUUCAAUCUUUGAAUCUUCGCAAUUACUUCUGAGCUGGUUAAAUAAACAUCAGUACAUUACCAUGGAUAACGGUUCUCAAUCGUUACCCGACUCCAUUGUCUAUAAUCAAUGAACAGUCUCAAGAUCCAUUUUCUUCCUCACCAACAAACUGGGCUCCUCAAAAGUGUUGUACUCGGUUGAAUAAAACUUUUAUCAACCAAUUCUUUAACAUAAAUUUAUACCUGGCAACAAUUCAAUAGUGAACCUCAUAUCUCUGCCUGAAGGCAAUCCAGGUAUACUUUCAAGGAAGACAUCAAGAAAAGUCUAACCCUUUUGACAUUAUUCACACUACUCCGAGCAACAUCAUUUAGCAUCACAUAAACUAAGUAUUUUUGGGCAGCCUUUCAAAACAAUCUCUUUGCUUUCACAGCAUAAAUAAUGGCUGAACUCACUUCACUUUGCAUGCCCACUCAUUAAGGUAACCUCUGAUCAUCCAGAUCGAUGGAAAGUGACUGGUUUCCCGUAACAAUCCAUCUAGUCACGAUUAUAAUCAACCAAUCUAAUGGAACAGAAUUAACUGAUACAAUAUAUAUUCUAUUAUUAUUAAGUAUUCUAAAUAAGUACAAUACUAACAUAAAAUAAUCUACCGGGUUGCUUGCUUAACGAAUCCACGAAUGAGUUAUUAAUAUUACGGUCUGCAGCCCGCAAUACUGAUAAAUCAUCGUUGUCUCGAUAAGUAGGCAACCACUCUCAAAGAUAUAAUAAUACUAUUUUGCCACUCAAUGCAAAAUACAUACACUCGUCUCAACCGCAUUUAUUUACUACUUUCUAGGCAAUAUCAAUCAUAAUAAUAAAAAUAUAUAUAUAUCAGCCGGAGUCAACUAAAAUGACCAAUACGGCUGAUUCAACUCUCAUCUCAAUAAUACGUCGGCCGGAUCCACUCCGCGUGGUCGGUACGGCCGAGCCUAUAACUCACCAAUUUCUCAUGCGUCAGCCAGAUCCACCUCUCAUGGUCUGUACGGCUGAACAUAUAACUCAUCAAAUCUCUCUGUACCCACGGUCAAUCCGACCAAACUACUAAGUUCAUAAACUUGCUGAAUCGACACUACGAUGUCAUAGAAAACUGUUGGGUACAACUGAUUCUAGGGACGAUUCACAAUUCUGUGUCCCCUCUGUUCACAUAAACACAUUCAUUUCUUAUUCUUCUUUAUUCUCGUUGCUCAUGUUCUCAGAGUCCUCAAGACUCAACAGCAUCUCGUAUAUUCCUGGUAAAAAGUACAAUGGAUAGUGGUCACCCAAAAUACCACUUCCCUUUUUCCACCCAGCUUAAAACAACAUAACACCUCAACCAAAUUAACAGUAAUAUCUGGAUGGAAACGAGGCAAGUCUGAAAACUUUCUAUAAUAUUCAUUUAUCGUCAACUUCCUUGAUUCACAUUUGCAAACUCUUGUUUACUACCAUCGAUAAAUGCCGGAGGGAUAAACUUUUCCUUAAACAAGUCCUUAAACAAUUUUAAAUCGGCUGAUUCCUCUGGUGACAACAAUUAACAAUCCUGUUUCCACCAGGAUACAAAUUCAUACCCAAAACCAGGUAGUCAUCUCGACCCCUUGUCAGAAGGAAAAUUCCUUUGACUUGCAUAAUCCGAAACAUCUUUUCCAAAUGGUUAAACCGUUACUUCGCUCCCUCAGGUUCAUCAUUUCUCUUAAGUGAUUCAAAUUCAACUCAUAACCCAUCUUAAAAUGUCCCUUUAGACAAUAGACUGAAUCACCAUAGUAAUAGUUUCCCCCUAAACCGCUAAAUCAGGGAGACUAAAUUCCUCUAACUACGUGGUUUGCUACGAGGCGGUGUAGUUCUGACAGAAUUCACUAGAAACUUCUCAAGAUGUCCAAGAUUGCAACCAUGCUCUGAUACCAACUGACACACCCCGUCCCGAAGGAGGGCAUGCUGGCCGUCACGUGAGAGUGACGUAACCAUUUGCACAGUACGGAAGCUUUAAAGAUACAAUUUAUAAUUUGAUACACCCGAAGGUGAGUCCUAAUUUUGUCCAAUCUGUCAGAACACCGUCGAAUUCCUCGUAGUCACCACACCUUUGUGAUUCCUGAACCUGGAGGGGCGCAAAACCAAAAUUGAGUGGGUCAGUAAAACAAUUCUUUUCCAAAUCCAAACAUUCCUCAAAACGUUGUAAACCCCUCUCCGUAAAACCUGUAUACUUUCCCAGAAAUGUAAAAUAUAAAUAUAUACAUAUAUAUUCUCAAACUUCAUUUUUUACUAUCUCAACAUUUUUCUUUAUCAAUCAUGCCAUGCCAUGUCUAAUUCAACAGUUAAGUAUGGAUGCAUCAACAAUAAUCAUAUCAGGUGCAAGAAAGUAAUCAACCGGAGGCCCUCUAAUAGCCCUGCACGGUUGAACCUAGAGCUCAAAAUCUAUCACUCUCACACUCUGCCGGAGUCACUCCGCGUGACCUGUCCGGCCUUCUGCACAUAAGCUACGCUCUAGUGCUUCUCAUAAAUCAUCUGUGCACAUAAUCUAAGGUCACCCACCAGUCGGAAUCUCACUAACACUCUCGCGACUGGCCUGUCGUACCCACUCCGCGUGGACUGUACGACUAGUAUCUACUUGGAUCCAAGACGAGCGUGCGAUGCGGUGAAUACUAAAAGCACUAAACUAUGGUGCAGGAUUUGAGCUCAAUAUACAUCAGCAUCAUCAUAACAGUAAUUAAAUACUCACC